rnacentral:ncRNA from 1 species
UAGGUGCUUUCAGUUAUUGCUGAAAGAGAAUAGGGAAUCAGGUGAAAAUCCUGAGCGGGUACGCCACUGUAAACAGCUAGUCUACCCAUUUAACCACUUGUGUAAACAGGGAAGGUUGGGUUAGAUGUUAAGCUGUAAGUCAGGAGACCUGCCUAUUUAUAU